rnacentral:rRNA from 1 species
CCGGNNGANCCCGCCGGAGGNNACCGCUUUUGGAGAACGACAAAGCCAGGCAAGNCANAUGUUCCUCGUGAACAUGGCAUACUGCUCAGUAACACGUGGAUAACCUGCCCUUGGGUCUGGGAUAACCCCGGGAAACUGGGGAUAAUACCGGAUAACGCAUAUGUGCUGGAAUGCUUUAUGCGUAAAAUGGAUUCGUCCGCCCAAGGAUGGGUCUGCGGCCUAUCAGGUAGUAGUGGGUGUAAUGUACCUACUAGCCAACAACGGGUACGGGUUGUGAGAGCAAGAGCCCGGAGAUGGAUUCUGAGACAUGAAUCCAGGCCCUACGGGGCGCAGCAGGCGCGAAAACUUUACAAUGCGGGAAACCGUGAUAAGGGAACACCGAGUGCCAGCAUCAUAUGCUGGCUGUCCAGAUGUGUAAACUACAUCUGUUAGCAAGGGCCGGGCAAGACCGGUGCCAGCCGCCGCGGUAACACCGGCGGCCCGAGUGGUGACCGUUAUUAUUGGGUCUAAAGGGUCCGUAGC